rnacentral:rRNA from 1 species
UUAAGGGUUCGUAGUUGGGGCAAGAGUCACGGGGUGCUGGGUGUCCUUUCGGGGACUUCAAGCCUAGCUUCUCCCACGCUCGCUAGCGACGGAAGAGAGCUCCUGCGGAAACCUUAUGGGUGAAUGCACUUCCGCACUGAUCGUGCACGGGGCAUCCGUCGUAUCACUGUGAACAAAACAGCGUGUCCAAAGCAGCCUUUACGGCUGAAUGCAAAAGCAUGGAAUGACGAGGGAUCGACCUUUGCGGCCAUCCCCUUGUUGGUUUAUGCGGCCCUAAAAGGGAAGAUUGAUCCGUUUUGUCUCUGCGUCUCUCCGUUACUUUGGCCUUCGGGCGAGAGACAGCGGCAGAGCGUUGGAGCUGCGGUUCUAUUGGGAUCAAUAGGGGCUGUCGGGGGAAGCCGUAUCCGAACACGAGAGGUGAAAUUCAUUGACUGUCCGGAGACGAACAUGUGCGAAGGCAGCUUCCAAGUAUGCCUUCAUUAAUCAAGAACCAAAGCGUGGAGAUCGAAGAUGGUCAGAUACCAUCGUAGUCCACGCUGUAAACGAUGGCGCCCAUGAGCUGGGCCUUUCGAUACUCCCCAGAGCACUC